UACGAAGGGGGGCUAGCGUUGUUCGGAAUCACUGGGCGUAAAGCGCGUGUAGGCGGCAGGGCAUGUCGGAUGUGAAAUCCCGUGGCUCAACCACGGAAGUGCACCCGAAACUGCCCAGCUUGAGUCUCGGAGAGGAAGGCGGAAUGCUUGGUGUAGAGGUGAAAUUCGUAGAUAUCGAGAGGAACACCGGUGGCGAAAGGCGGCCAACUGGACGAAAUACUG
rnacentral:rRNA from 1 species